AAAGGUGACAGCCUGGGACAGCCAACCAUCGCUGGAAAAGGGAGGAGACGGACAGGGCUGUACUUACCACCGCCACAGGGCCUGUCUCCGGGCUUGAGUUUGUGUGGACGGCAAGGGCUUGUUUCGCUGGCCUCUAACUCUCAACCGCAAGGCGAACUUGGGUUGGGGCCCAGAACGGCCGCGAGCCGUCACCCUCCAGCCUGGCCAGUGAGUGCUGAGCGGACACAGCGGCGGCUCGAGGACGUGCCACCGGGCUGCCAGGGCUCCGUGCGUCUCGCUCCGGCUGGGUCCCGGCUGACCCCGCACUGCAGGCGCAGGCACCGGGGACCCCGCAGGCUCCACCGCCCCGGCCACCCUGAAGUCCCCGCUGGAGGAGGCGCGGCGGACCCGCUCCCGGGGACCCCGUCUCUCCGAGAAGCCCCUUCCUCCAGCUCCUCCCUCUGCCCUCCGGCCCCAGAGACAGCAGCGUGGCGGCUUCUCUGUCCCGUGUGCUGCGCAGGACAAGCGGCCCGGGAGGAGGGAGCCGUUCCCGGCGGGGGCAGCAGCAGCCCGGGCCGGGGACACGCGUGGGGCCCGGACCGUCCGCUGGCACCGAGUCGGCGGGUGCGGGGACCCCAGACACGCCGCGUUCCCCGGAGUCCCGCGCCCGGGAGAGCGGCCCCGCCUGAAAAGACAUCUUGGUUAAUACAGAGACACGCCCAGGGCCAGGAGAAGCCACUGUCCUCCCAGUCCCACCGCUACAAAGCACGCGGCCGCCCUCCCGCGCCGAGUCCUUCCCCCUUUGGAAACAGACGUGGCCCCGCAGAGCCCCCGCGGCCGGCCGGGGCCCCUCACCCGGGGAUUUCGGUGUGGACAGAGCACGCUCGUCCCGAAGGCGGCAAAGCCAGGCAGACCGGCUGCCAGAGUCAGGCGGGGUUAGAGGCGGAGGCCCCCACUCCCACGCGGGCCAGGGACCCCCGAGGUGCUGGGGAGGAACCCAGGAGGCUUUGCUUGGGGGGACCCAUUUCUCCCCCAGUAAACGGAUAG
rnacentral:lncRNA from 1 species